GGCGCUGUAGUGUAGUGGUUAUCACUCAAGAUUCUGAUAUCCUUGAAGAAGCCUUGAUGUUCUUGUAACCCCGGUUCGAAUCCGGGCAGUGCCU